GGAAGUAGUAUUAAAGCCGCAAGAGAAGGCCACCCUGCAGUUUUCACAGCAGAGGGAGUUCAAGAUUGGGUUUGACUCUAAUCAUAAGAUCACACAGAGACAGAGUUAUAGCUUCAGGCCUGUUCCCACACUUGGACUACCGUAAUUUCAUUGAGCUUCGAUAUAAAUAAUUCAUGAGCUUCAUGAUUUGUUAUCUAAGAGUGCUUUUGAUUCAAUGGGCAUGAAUAGGUUGAACAUGAGCGGUAAUGGAUGGCAUUUGUUUUCCCUAUCGAAAGAAUACUUUUCGUUUUCAGAGGUGAAGAUGAUUUUCCCGUGGAUGUUUGAUGAGAUUCAGUGUAAUACCUGUCCUCCCGCCAUCCCGUUAGCAGCAUUGGAUAAUACUAUCUCCUUCUCUUUCUUCAUUGCUUUAUGUUCUUCAUCGGAAGCGGAUGGAUGAUGGGGACAUCCGGCGAUCACUAUAGCUGCGGAGAUGCAACAAAAAACACUCAAGAUAGCAAUGACGAUGGUAGGCGCAGACAAGGAUGCGACAUAACGGUGGGUAGGCAGAGACGAAUUCAUUUCUAACAUAGCUGGUUUACUUUUCUGGGAAUUGAUUGAUCUGGCAUUUCUGUUCUCCGUUUACCGUU